GGGGAUUUGGCUCAGUGGUAGAGCGUUUGCCUAGGAAGCGCAAGGCCCUGGGUUCGGUCCCCAGCUCUG
rfam:Rattus norvegicus chromosome 9, whole genome shotgun sequence.